AUCUAAAAUAUCUGGCUCAGCCCUCCACCUCGGCACCUUUAACAUUGCGAUAUUUCACUUUUUUCUCCGCUUCUCCUUUCUCAUCAAAAGUGAAAAAGUGCAAAAUUUAUAUUGCCUCCCUCUCCCCUCCUCCUCCCCUUUCCCGUUUCCCAAACAAAUAUCUUCACUCAAUUUCAUUUCUUCUUCUCCUUCUUCUGCUCCCGCCUCCCUCCCCCUUCGAUCCCAUAUCCAUAAUCUUUUCCCCCCUUUUCCAUAUCAUAUGACUUCAUCCUCACCCCUCCGUAUCCCCGCCUGCCAAUCUUGAUUUUCCCUCGAUACUUUUCUUUCUAUUAAUGGGGGAGGAGGUCAAGAUGACCGAUUACGACGGCGCUGUCCCCGAUGAUGAUGAGAGAGUCCUCGAAUGGGAGUUGGGCCUCCCUACUGCCGAUGAUCUCACUCCCCUCUCUCAGCCUCUGAUCCCGCCGGAGCUCGCCUCCGCCUUCAGCAUAUCGCCGGAGCCCAGCCGGAGUCUCCUCGACGUUAAUCGUGCCUCCCGGAAUACUCUCACCAAUCUUCGCGGCGGAAGCUCUCAGGCCUUUUCCUCCAAUAAUUUCAAGUCGCUCAAUGAUGACGGGUGUCAGGACCCCAUCGUGGUGGAGGCCGAUGAAGAGGGCGAUCGACAUGGGUCGGGGUCCGAUUCUCGGAAACUCAGGAAGAUCGACUGCACCGAAGAAGCUGAUUCGGCUCUGCGGACUGAGAAUUCCACGGAUGAUCCGUCUGCUCGGACCUUGAAGCGGCCUCGGCUUGUGUGGACUCCGCAGUUGCACAAGCGGUUUGUGGAUGUGGUGGCUCAUCUGGGAAUCAAGAACGCGGUGCCGAAGACGAUUAUGCAAUUGAUGAACGUCGAAGGAUUGACCCGAGAAAAUGUCGCCAGCCAUCUUCAGAAGUAUCGGCUUUACUUGAAGAGGAUGCAGGGUUUAUCCAACGAGGGUCCUUCAUCAUCGGACCAGCUCUUCGCUUCCACUCCGGUGCCGCAAAGCCUACACGAUUCUGGUGGAAGUGGGCACUCUCAUGGAAACGGGCAUCUUCCGGUCCCGAUUCCGAUGCUAUAUCCACCGCCAAUGAUGCCCAUGCCGGUUCUUGGAAUGCCCCAUGGUCAGGGUCAUCCGCAUGCUCACAUGGGAAUGCCGGUGGCCAAUCAUGGGUUCGACUCACAUCCAUAUAAUCUGUUGCAGCCAAGGGAUUGGUCUGGCAAGAAAUUUGCUUCGGUUGUAUCAGACCCUCACGUUGCUACUAACGAUAAAUGAGCUUUCAUUCAGAAAUUUGUCAACAACUCAGUAACGAUUCAAAAGUUUAACCAAAGGCCAUCACUAGGAAGUGUGGGAUGCAGCUCUAUUGGUGGCCCUGGAUUUCAUUUACACGCAUUCUUAAAGAAGUAAUUGCAGGUUCUGAAGCCAAAUGGAGUCUGAGGUAUUAUGUACCGCUUCAGCAAAUUCGCGGACCUUCUCUUGACAAACAUAUCUCAUAAUUGUAGGAGGAGAUAACUGGCAUGAUGCUUGUGGUCUAUCUAGAUUACUGCAGCUUCUGAACACCAAUGCAAAACUGAAUAAGAGAAGGACCGAGCAAAAGGGUAGACGAGUUCAAGUGACAAUGUUGACUUUCACCCUACGGUAUAGAUGCAGACCGUAAGCGGUGUUGAUGGGAAGGAUCAGAAAGAUGCAGAGCAUGAGGAGAUAAGCUGGGUGGUUGGAGGGAAAUCAAAGGAGAUUUAGGAACGGAUGAAAGAGAUAAGCACUCAAUGACAGUGUUCUAUUUGAAAGAAUGAUGUGGGGUUUGGGGAUAAGGUGCCAGCAAGUGGCUGGUAUUAUUAUAAUCAGGGGAUUAGGUCUGUGGGUUAAAAUAUGGAAAGAAGCUUCUAGGUUGGGAAAUAAAUUAUUGAUUACAGUGACUGGACCAUAAAUCCGUUUCUUUUCUUCAAGAAU